GUCGCCAGGCUGAAGUGCAGUGGUGGGAUCUUGGCUCACUACAACCUCCACCUCCCUGGUACAAGCGAUUCUCCUGCCUCAGCCUCCCAAGUAGCUGGGACUACAGGCACAUGCCACCAUACCCAGAUAAUUUUUGUAUUUUUAGUAGAGAUAGGGUUUUAUCAUGAUGGCCAGGAUGGUCUCUAUCUCUUGACGUUGGUGAUCCACCCACCUCAGCCUCCCAAAGUGCUGGGAUUACAGGCAUGAGCCACUGCACCCAGCCAGCUUUUCACAUUUUAUCUGUGUUGUGUGGCUUUCUUACCCUGAAAAGUGAAUUCUUUAGGGAUAAGAGUUUUGUUAUCUUCUUUAAAUCCCCACCACUCAGCACAGCUCUUGAUGCAUGGUAUGCAGUCAAUAUAUAAUAAGCAAAUUAGCAAAUCCAGGGCAGAGUAUCUUUAAAAGAAAACAGAGGCUGGCCCAGAAAUUAAUAAUAAGAAACCUAAUAGGACUCCGAGAAAAGGCAAUUACUGUGUUAAUUAUGCCUCAAAAACAUCUUUUCUUUAAAUACCGUAGAAAUCGGCCAGGCACGGUGGCUCAAACCUGUAAUCUCAGUACUUUGGGAGGUCAAGGUGGGCUAAUCACUUGAGCCCAGGAGUUUAAGACCAACCUGGGCAACAUGGCGAAACUCCGUCUAAAAAAAACAAACAAGAAAAAAUAAAAAAAAUUAGCCAGCAUGGUGUUGCACACUUCUAGUCUGAGCUACUUAGGAGGCUGAGGUAGGGGGAUCAUCUGGGUCCAGGAGGCUGAGGCUGCAGUGAGCCCUGAUCAUGAUACUGCACUCCAGCCUGGGUGACAAAACAAAACCUGAUUUCAAAACAAAACAUAGAAAUCCUCAAAGAAGCUUCUCUUUAGAUUUUCUUCCCACAUAGGAAAACAGUAUGAAGUGAAAAUUGAGUGAAAUCAGGGCUCCAUGGGCUGAUCACUAAGGCUUUAAGAAAAAAAUUUGGGUGCUCCUUACUUAGGGAAAAUGUGAAUGUCAAUUACCCUUUUCUUUUUUCUAAAAGGAAGUCUCACUCUUUUGCCCAGGCUGGAGUGCAGUGGUACGAUCUCGGCUCACUGCAACCUCUGCCUCCCAGGUUCAAGUGAUUCUCCUGUCUCAGCCUCCUGAGUAGCUGGGAUUAUAGCCAUGUACCACCAUUCCUGGCUAAUUUUGUAUUUUUAGUAGAGACCAGGUUUCACCAUGUUAACCAGACUGGUCUAGAACUCCUGAGCUCUAGUGAUCUGCCCAUCUCUGCCUCCCAAAGCACAGAGAUUAACAGGCAUGCGCCACCACAUCUGGCCUUAGUUGCCCGUUUCUAACUCUUGUUCAGUCUAUAAAUAGGAGCUAGGCUCUAUUUCCAGAUAUUCUGAGUUAACUGGUUGAGCAUAUAGGCAUUGGUACAUUUAAAAGCCUCCCUAAAUUAUUAAAUAUGCAGCCAGGUUGGAGAAGCAGUUCCUAGAAUGAUAUUAUGGACAGAAUGCACCCCUCUUAAACUUUUAUGUUGAAGCCCUAACCCCCCUUUUGGGGGUGAGACCUUGGGAGGUAAUUAGGUUUAAAUGAGGUCUUGAGAGUAAGGCCCCCAUGUUGGGAUUAGUGUCCUUAUAAGAGGAAGAGACCAGACCUCUCUCUCUGUGUCUCUUUCUCUCUCCAUCUGAGGACACAGAUGGAAGUUGGCCAUCUGCAAGCCAGGAAGAAGGCUGUUACCAAGAACCUGAUUGUGCUGACACUGUGAUCUUGGACUUCCCAGCCUCCAGAACUUUGAGAAAUCAAUAUCUGUUUUUUUCUUUUGUUUUGUUUUUUGAGACAGAGUCUUGCUCUGUGGCCCAGGCUGGAGUGCAAUAGCAUGAUCUCUGCUCACUGCAACCUCGGCCUCCUGGGUUUAAGCGAUUCUCCUGUCUGAGCCUCCUGAGUAGCUGAGAUUACAGAUGCCCACCACCACACCCAGCUAACUUUUAUAUUUUUAGUAGAGAUGGGGUUUCACCAUAUUGGUCAGCCUGGUCUUGAACUCCCGACCUCAGGUGAUCCGCCUGCCUUGGCCUCCAAAGUGCUUGGAUUACAGGCGUGAGCCACUGUGCCUGGCUCUUUUUUUUUUUUUUUAGAUGGAGUCUCGCUCUUGUCUCCCUGGCUGGAGUGCAGUGGCAUGAUCUCCACUCACUGCAACCUCUGCCUCCCAAGUUCAAGUGAUUCUCCUGCUUCAGCCUCCUGAGUAGCUGGGAUUACAGGUGUUUGCCACCACAACUGGCUAAUUUUUGUAUUUUUAGUAGAGACAGGGUUUCACCAUGUUGGCCAGGCUGCUCUCGAACUCCUGACCUCAGGUGAUCUACCUGCCUUGGCCUCCCGAAGUGCUGGGAUCACAGGUGUGAGCCACUGUACCUAGCCCUUUUUUCUUUCUUUCUUUUUUUUUUUUUUGAGACAGAGUCUCAAUCUGUUGCCCAGGCUGGAGUGCAAUAGUACAAUCUUGGCUCACUGCAACCUCCACCUUUCAGGUUCAAGCAAUUUCCAGCUAAUUUUUUUUGAAUUCUUAGCAGGGACGGGGUUUCACCAUGUUGGCCAGGCUGGUUUCGAACUCCUGACCUCAAGUGAUCUGCAAUACACUGGUCUUCUGGUCUAUCAUAGAGGUGUAGUGGGGAGCUGACAUAAUAUCAGAAACUGAGACUUAGAAAUUCAGCAAAUCAUCAUUAUCAUACAAAGCACUCUGAAACACUGCCUGGCACAUAGACAAUGCUCUAUAAAUGUAAGGGAGUAGUAGAAGUAUUAGUAUUAUCAUCACCAUCAUCAAACUGAUAACCGGGGGUUGAUUUAAUAGUGUUGAGUAGUUUAAACAAGUUUCAGAGUUAGGAUUUAAAUUAUGACUGAAAUUUGAAUGUCUUUCAUUAUACCAGGUUGAUGGCAGCAGAAAUAGCUUCCUGUUAUUCAGAAUAAUGAUGCCCAGGACAAAUAUUACUAUUCCGUAUGUUCCCUGUUUCCUUGACCAUCAUCCAUUUUUGCUUUCCAGAUUAAGCCCUCCAAGGGAGUUUGAAAUAAAAGAUCAUAUGGGCUAAAGCCAAACAACAACUGAACAAUACCAAUGGGCAGAAUUUGGGGAGUCUAAAAACCUAAUGGUUUUACCUGGGAACAGCUAACCCUAUUUACAAUACAGAGCCUCCAGCUUUUGGCUCAUCUCUAGCUCUUGGGCUCUUCUCUAGGCUUGGAGAGAUCAGAUUGCUAAAGACAGCCUUUUUCAAGAGGCUCACUUCUUUUCUAGUCCUCAGGUCCUCAUACCCUCGUUGAUUUUUCUUCUUUCCUUUUAUUUCCUUUUUUUUUUUUUUUUUAAAUUUUUUCAGAUAGGAUCUUGCUCUGUUGCCCAGGCUAGAGUGCAGUGGGACAAUCAUAGCUCAUGCAGCCUCGAUCACCUGGGCUCAAGUGAUCCUCCCACUUCAGCCUCCUGAACAGCUGGGACUACAUACAUGUGCCACUAUGCCCAGCUAAUUCUUUUGGUUUUUAAUAGAAAUAAGGUCUUGCUAUGUUGCCCAGGCUGGUCUCAAAUUCCUGAGCUCAAGCUUUCCUCUGGUCUCAGCCUCCCAAACUGCUAGGAUUACAGGCAUGAGCCACCACACCCGGACUACCCUUGUUGAUUUCUGAAACUAUUUAAGUGUCUUAAAAACUCAAGAUGAUGCCUAGAAGAGUCCAGAAGAGGGGAAAUGCAGGGGGAAGUGCUAUUGUUGACAUUAUCCCAAUAACCCCAGGAACCCAGAUCAGUCCAGCACUUUUUUGUAUGUCUUGAUUAUUUUACUGAUACAAAAUUGGAUCAGGCUUUUUGACAGUUUGUGGUGAGUGAAAAACCCAGAGCUGGGCCAGAAUGCCACCAGGAAGCCCUAUGUUUCAUUUGGCUAAUGUUCUUUCUUAAAGAACCAAAUCAAAGUCAUCUCUUUUGUGACACCGUGUGCAGUCCUACAGGUGGAGCUACCUUUAUUAUAUUUGUAUUAGAAUUAUUUGAUUGCCUGUCACUUCUGUACAUCUUUCCAUGAACAAAUAGAGAGAUCACAUCUAUUAACUCUGUUCUCCCUCUAACAAUAGCAAUUACAUAGUGGCAAAUACAUUAAAGAUGCUUAAUAAAUAAUUGUUAAACAAAUUAAUAGAUAAAUGGAUACUAGGCUUCUGGGUCUUAUUUAGGCCUGAAGUGCUAGUACAAUUGCAGAGGAUAUACUUUUGCAUCAUUUGGGCCUGUCUCAGUCUGUUUUGUAUUGCUAUAACAGAAUACCACAGACUGAGUAAUUUACAAAGAAAAGCAAUUUAUUUCUGGAGGCUGGGAAGGUUAAGUUCAAGGGACCCACAUCUCCUGAGGGCCCUCUUGCUGUGUCAUACCUUGGGAAGUGAAAAGCAAAGGGUGAGUCAGGCCAUAGAACUCACAGCCUCAAGCUCUUUUUAACUGGACAUUUACAGAUUCAUGAGGGCUCCACCCUCAUGACCUGAACACCUCUCAUUAGGCCCUACCUCCCGACACUGUGGCGUUGGGGAUUGUUUCCAACAUGUGUUCUUUGGGGGAUACAUUCAAACCAGAGCAGGACCCAUAUCUGUGCAUCAUAUUAGAUGAGUGAACUUUUUUUUUUGAAACAGAGUCUUGCUCUUGUCACCCAGGCUGGAGUGUAGUGGCAUGAUCUGGGCUCACUGCAACCUCCACCUUCCAGGUUUCAAGUAAUUCUUCUGCCACAGCCUCCCAAGUAGGUGGGAUUACAGGUACCUGCCAUCGCACCCAGCUAAUUUUUGUAUUUUUGGUAGAGACGGGGUUUUCACCAUGUUGGCCAGGCUGGUCAUGAACACCUGACCUUGUAAUCCACCUGCCUCAGCCUCCCAAAGUGCUGGGAUUAAAGAAGUGAGCCACUGUACCCGUCGGAUUAAACAUUUUUAUAUUUUAUUUUGCUUUAUUCAUCUCUGUAUCUUCUACAGGACCCGUUUUCAAGAAAUACAUGUUGAGGAUCUGUUCUGCUCAGAAAUGGAAUAGAAUUUGUAUGUGUUUCUUUUGUUUUGUUUUUGAGAUGAAGUUUCCCUCUUGUUGCCCAGGCUAGAGUGCAAUGGCACAAUCCUGGCUCACUGCAACCUCUGCCUCCUGGGUUCGAACAAUUCCCCUGCCUCAGUCUCUUGAGUAGCUGGGACUACAGGUGCAUGCAGAUUCAGAGGGAAGAGAAGAUCUCAAAUCCCAAGAAGGAAAGGAAUUAACAGUGAGACGUUUGAAGAGAUGAAACAGAGAAGAGGCAGGUGGCAGUAAAAACACAGAAGAAAACUGCAGAUAGACAAAUAAUAAGGAAAAAGACAGGAAGUGAUCAUUAAUUGAAUGAAUAGAGCUGAAAUUGAGAAUGCUUUUCUUUUCUAAACUGGACUUGGAUUUAGAUUUUAAAAUUACUUAAUUUUAUUUACUCAUAUUCAUUCAUUCAUUCAACAGAAUGUACAAAUCAUACAUGAUAACAGUAUCUACUACAUAGAAUUGUCACAAAUUAAAUCAAUUAAUUCUUGGAAAGCACAGUUUAUUCAUGAUGCUUUGUAUAUCAUGUUAAGGAAUUGGGAUUUGAACUUCUAAGAGUUGUUUAAAAGCCAUUAUAUUAAGGCUCAGCAGUUAAUUGGCAUGUGAGAGCUGUUGUGCUCCAAGUUCUUAUCAGAAAUAGAAUCUAGAACUCAUUGCCAUUCCAUACUUUUCAAAAGCAUUUAACUGAGAAAAAUAACCUUCACAGAGAAUACACAAUCAGUUCAUCCA